GGAUGUGAGGGCAAUCUGGCUGCGGUAUCUGUCACCCCUUGAUCGCCAGGGUUGAUUCGGCUGAUCAGGCUGUCCACUUCCUCCCUCACCAUUCCAUGUGCGUCCCUCCUAAAGCUGCGUGUUCGGUCGAAGAGGACGACCAUCCCCUAUAGAGGAGGACUGUCCUUCUGUCAAGGGUUUACGAGUAGCUGCGCUCCCCUGCUAGAACCUCCAAACAAGCUCUCAAGAAAUGCAAUCAUUGCUCAGUGUUUUGCCUUUUCGUUAAGGAUCUCACCAUUCUUCUAGUCAUUCAUGAAAUUAUUCAUUCAUU
rnacentral:snRNA from 1 species